CUACGGGACGCCGCAGUGGGGAAUAUUGCACAAUGGGCGCAAGCCUGAUGCAGCCAUGCCGCGUGUAUGAAGAAGGCCUUCGGGUUGUAAAGUACUUUCAGCGGGGAGGAAGGGAGUAAAGUUAAUACCUUUGCUCAUUGACGUUACCCGCAGAAGAAGCACCGGCUAACUCCGUGCCAGCAGCCGCGGUAAUACGGAGGGUGCAAGCGUUAAUCGGAAUUACUGGGCGUAAAGCGCACGCUGGCGGGUUGUUAAGUCAGAUGGGAAAUCCCCGGGCUCAACCUGGGAACUGCAUCUGAUACUGGCAAGCUUGAGUCUCGUAGAGGGGGGUAGAAUUCCAGGUGUAGCGGUGAAAUGCGUAGAGAUCUGGAGGAAUACCGGUGGCGAAGGCGGCCCCCUGGACGAAGACUGACGCUCAGGUGCGAAAGCGUGGGGAGCAAACAGGAUUAGAUACCCCAGUAGUC
rnacentral:rRNA from 1 species